UGACGAGUGGCGGACGGGUGAGUAAUGUCUGGGAAACUGCCUGAUGGAGGGGGAUAACUACUGGAAACGGUAGCUAAUACCGCAUAACGUCGCAAGACCAAAGAGGGGGACCUUCGGGCCUCUUGCCAUCGGAUGUGCCCAGAUGGGAUUAGCUAGUAGGUGGGGUAACGGCUCACCUAGGCGACGAUCCCUAGCUGGUCUGAGAGGAUGACCAGCCACACUGGAACUGAGACACGGUCCAGACUCCUACGGGAGGCAGCAGUGGGGAAUAUUGCACAAUGGGCGCAAGCCUGAUGCAGCCAUGCCGCGUGUAUGAAGAAGGCCUUCGGGUUGUAAAGUACUUUCAGCGGGGAGGAAGGCGUUGUGGUUAAUAACCUUGUCGAUUGACGUUACCCGCAGAAGAAGCACCGGCUAACUCCGUGCCAGCAGCCGCGGUAAUACGGAGGGUGCAAGCGUUAAUCGGAAUUACUGGGCGUAAAGCGCACGCAGGCGGUCUGUCAAGUCGGAUGUGAAAUCCCCGGGCUCAACCUGGGAACUGCAUUCGAAACUGGCAGGCUAGAGUCUUGUAGAGGGGGGUAGAAUUCCAGGUGUAGCGGUGAAAUGCGUAGAGAUCUGGAGGAAUACCGGUGGCGAA
rnacentral:rRNA from 1 species